rnacentral:rRNA from 1 species
UAGUUGGUGAGGUAAUGGCUCACCAAGGCAAUGACGCCUAACUGGUUUGAGAGGAUGAUCAGUCACACUGGAACUGAGACACGGUCCAGACUCCUACGGGAGGCAGCAGUGGGGAAUAUUGCACAAUGGAGGAAACUCUGAUGCAGCAACGCCGCGUGGAGGAUGACACUUUUCGGAGCGUAAACUCCUUUUAUAUAGGAAGAUAAUGACGGUACUAUAUGAAUAAGCACCGGCUAACUCCGUGCCAGCAGCCGCGGUAAUACGGAGGGUGCAAGCGUUACUCGGAAUCACUGGGCGUAAAGAGCGUGUAGGCGGGUUAAUAAGUUGGAAGUGAAAUCCUAUAGCUCAACUAUAGAACUGCUUUCAAAACUGUUAACCUAGAAUAUGGGAGAGGUAGAUGGAAUUUCUGGUGUAGGGGUAAAAUCCGUAGAGAUCAGAAAGGAAUACCGAUUGCGAAGGCGAUCUACUGGAACAUUAUUGACGCUGAGACGCGAAAAGCGUGGGGAGCAAACAGGAUUAGAUACCCUGGUAGUCCACGCCCUAAACGAUGUACACUAGUUGUUGCGAUGCUAGACAUUGCAGUAAUGCAGUUAGCACAUUAAGUGUACCGCCUGGGGAGUACGGUCGCAAGAUUAAAACUCAAAGGAAUAGACGGGGACCCGCACAAGCGGUGGAGCAUGUGGUUUAAUUCGACGAUACGCGAAGAACCUUACCUGGACUUGACAUUUACAGAAUUUUUCAGAGAUGAAUUAGUGUCUGCUUGCAGAAACUGUAGGACAGGUGCUGCACGGCUGUCGUCAGCUCGUGUCGUGAGAUGUUGGGUUAAGUCCCGCAACGAGCGCAACCCACGUCGUUAGUUGCUAACAGUUCGGCUGAGAACUCUAACGAGACUGCCUGGGCAACCAGGAGGAAGGUGUGGACGACGUCAAGUCAUCAUGGCCCUUACGUCCAGGGCUACACACGUGCUACAAUGGGGCAUACAAAGAGCAGCGAUACCGCGAGGUGGAGCAAAUCUCAAAAAUGCCUCCCAGUUCGGAUAGUAGUCUGCAACUCGACUACUUGAAGUUGGAAUCGCUAGUAAUCGUAGAUCAGCAAUGCUACGGUGAAUACGUUCCCGGGUCUUGUACUCACCGCCCGUCACACCAUGGGAGUUGAACUCAUUCGAAGCGGGGAUGCUAAGAUAGCUACCCUCCACAGUGGAUUCAGCGACUGGGGUG